rnacentral:rRNA from 1 species
UACGAAGGGGGCUAGCGUUGCUCGGAAUCACUGGGCGUAAAGGGUGCGUAGGCGGGUCUUUAAGUCAGGGGUGAAAUCCUGGAGCUCAACUCCAGAACUGCCUUUGAUACUGAGGAUCUUGAGUUCGGGAGAGGUGAGUGGAACUGCGAGUGUAGAGGUGAAAUUCGUAGAUAUUCGCAAGAACACCAGCGGCGAAGGCGGCGCUCUGGGCCGGUACUGACGCUGAGGAGCGAAAGCGUGGGUAGCAAACAGG